CAGUUUUACCGCACCGCCAUCACUGGUUGGCAAAAUAGUCUGUACCGACCCUUUUCCAAAUGAUUUUUCCCCCAUGAUGAUAGCGCGAUGAUGGUCUUGCAAGGCACCUGCAACAAUUUCCGAUGCUGAAGCCGAUCCUGCAUUGAUCAAUACCACUAUCGGCGCACUAUUCAACACAUCGUCUGGCUCUGCGUUAAAUUGCAUGUCUGAAUUUUUAAUUCGACCCUUGGUAUAAACAAUCAAUCCUUUAUCCAAAAAGGCAUCGCUCACAUUAACGGCAGCAUUCAACACGCCACCAGGAUUGUUUC
rnacentral:ncRNA from 1 species